rnacentral:lncRNA from 1 species
UCAACCCUUUUCUUUAUCCUAAAGAGGGUCAUUGCCCUAGUUUUAGGUUAGGUAGAACAACAAUACUGACCACAAAAUAUUUACAUAAGUCUUGGAAUGAGGUAACAGAAUCUUAGGGUAAAUUCUAAAACCACAACAAUACUUGAAGGAAAGAUUUUGCAUAGUAUUAUAUCACUACUCUUCACCUCUAAGGUCAUUGCUUUUCUCUAAUGCAUUAAAUGAUCGAAUGGAUUAUUUGUCCCAUCAAAGAGAUUAAAUUUAAGGAUAGUGAAUCAAUGUGGAGACUCAUGUAACAGUACUCAUUGGGUGAAUGGAUUUCUAAUGAUCUCCAUCCAUGAUGUUAAUGUAACACCAAGCUUCCAUUCCUCAUUCUCACUAGCGAGUAUGUGUCAUAGAUGAGUCUAUUGACUAGUUAUACAAUCAUCAUCACUAUCGAUCAAAUAUGGCAUUAGUUCCACUUGAGAUUUAAUAGGAACCUAUUACUGUUAACUUGUACCUAAUUAAUCACUUACAGAUGAAGAGAGCAUUAAAAUCCAAUAGUUGCUUAUCAAGCCUAGCUUUCAAAGCCUUAUUUUCAUUUAAUCAAUUAUUCUUACAAAGGCUUCUUUAUCUAAUUGUUGCCUUCUAAGUUGCUCUUUCAUAGCACAUGGUUGUUCCUCUAUAACAAAAGUAGAGGCCUGAUCCCUCAAUAGCUAAAGUUAUCUUAAGUGUGGACCAUUUCCAACAUUAUAAUUAAGACAAUUCCCACAAAUGACAUCAAUUAUUAUAGCAACUUUGCUCUACUCUACCAUCAAAGGACAUCAUUGCCAACAAUAGACCUUCUAGAAUGACCUUUUGUGCUUAAAUUGGUCCCUCAUUUUUAAAGAAAUACAUUCCAUUUUAUAAAUUGUCCUUGAUAAGUAUGGAAAAGAUGAUAGAUGCCCAUUAUCCUUUGUAUAUUAAUUAUUAUUUAUUGGUUGAUUGUAACAAGGAAAAGAUUAUACCAUAAAGUUUUACCUUUCUUAAGAUUGCAUAUUAAGGAAAUAGAGCUAAACAUAUCCAAGUAGAUACUCAUGCCACUCAACCAAGGCGGAAGAUUCAAGUGACUAGGCUUGUGGCUCGAUUAAUUGGAUGCUACUUAUUGUUUUCAAUAGAAAAAUACAAAACAAUACUAUGUUUAUUAAAGAAGCAACGAAGACAAACACGACCAACUACUCAUCAGUUUCUUUUUUUCUGCCUUAAAUGACGCCCCUAACUUGCCACCAAGCGCCAACUUCAUCCGACCUUUUUCCCCUCAAUAAAUUAAAGAGCAUAGUCGUCAACACGCAAACCCCACAACUAUAUCUGAAGGCAUCCUCACACACGGAGAGCCGAGCCACAAGGGCGAGGCACACGCCAAAGGGAAAAGCUAAUAAGGGAACAGCCAAUUAUAGUCAUACCGAAUACGAGAGAGAGAGAGAGAGAAAAAAAAACCAAUCCUCGUUUUCCAGGGUCAUCUGGGUUGUGAUCGGCGUCGUCUUUCUCCACUGUAAGUUUCUUGUUUUGUAAUCUAGUCUUCCUGUUUCUGCAGAUCUGGGAUGCUGUUCUUUUUUUAUUUUUCUUUGCUGGUUGUAGAUUUGUUUGUCUGUGAGUUGGGUCGUUUUGGAGUUUUUUUUUUUGUUGGUGGAAAUUCCGAUGGGAAAUGUGGGGAUGGGAGGUUUUUCGAAUUAGGUUUUCUUUUUCUUUGUUUUCUCGUCAGGCAAACGUGGGGUUGCUGUUGUUAUUACUUUAAGCUUUUUAAUGUUGGGGAAAAUCGGUGUCUGUGUUUCUUUGUUUCUCCGUAAAUUGAGUUACUUUGAAGAUUGUGUUUGAUUGAUGGGUAAAUUUGAUAGGACUUUUGCUUGCAAAAUCCGAUUUGGAAAUUUACUUGGAAAUUUUGAUGACAAUACUUGGAUGAGAAAAUUUUCUGGAAAUUUUGACGGAAAAUUUUGAUUGGAAACGUGGGGUUGGGAAUUUUUUUAAAAACUUGGGCUUUGCUUUUCUGUAUCUUCUGGUCAACCAAAUGUGGAAUUGUUUGGCUACUAUGUACGUUUCCAUGUUGGAAAGUUGAUGCAUCUUUGAAUGAAGUAUGUUACUUUUCCUUGUUCUGUAACGUGUCUUGAUUUGC